rnacentral:rRNA from 1 species
GACGAGCCACACAAACGUUAUUCGGAAUUACUGGGCUUAAAGGGUGCGUAGGCUGUGCGGAAAGUUGGGUGUGAAAUCCCCCGGCUCAACCGGGGAAUUGCGCCCAAAACUACCGUGCUUGAGGAAGACAGAGGUGAGCGGAACUUCGGGUGGAGCGGUGAAAUGCGUUGAUAUCCGAAGGAACACCGGUGGCGAAAGCGGCUCACUGGGUCUUUUCUGACGCUGAUGCACGAAAGCUAGGGGAGCAAACGGG